GGAGAAUUUCUUGAACCUGGGAGAUGGAGGUUGCAGUGAGCUGAGACCACGCCACUGCACUCCAGCCUGGGUGACAGAGUGAGACUUUGGCUC
rnacentral:miRNA from 1 species